GGAGAGGGGGGGCCCGUCGUCUCCCUCCUCUCCUCUCCCCCGUCUUUCCAGACCCCGCCCUGGUGACAGCGAGGUGGGUCCGACCUUUGGGAACUGGCUGCCCCCAACCCUGUUCCGUGGGAUGGCUGGAGGGGAGGACGGCCGUAGCAGCCGUCCACUCAUUCAGAAUACCAGAGUUGGCACGAAGCUGAGUCCCAACUUAGAAAUGUGCCUGAGUGUCCUACUCACCCAAAACAUUGAAUGGAAAGUUUCCAUCCCAAGGCCCAGCUCAUUUUCACAAUGUCUGCCCAAGAAGAGCUUCUACGGGCCAUCCAUCCAACUGCAUUGAAUGAUAGCUUGGACGAUUCAUCAGCUUGGAUUUUCCUGCAUGGAUACAAUAGUUAGGUCUAACUUUUUGGAGGGAUGCUGGAUCUGAUGUAGGAGCCCCCGCAAUGUUCCGGGGCUUGACAGAAUCAACACAAUGCCACCAGAAACAGGAACACUUGAAUGAUCUCACCGUUGAUGGGGAACCCCUCUUCCAUUGGAACUACAUUAAGGACAGUAUCUGCUCACCUUGUCCAUGGUCACACCGACACCUUUGAACAUCUACCUCCCUAUUUCGUGCUUAUUUGA